CCUACGGGAGGCAGCAGUGAGGAAUAUUGGACAAUGGGCGCAAGCCUGAUCCAGCCAUGCCGCGUGCAGGAAGAAGCAUCUAUGGUGUGUAAACUGCUUUUGUACAGGAAGAAACACUCCCUCGUGAGGGAGCUUGACGGUACUGUAAGAAUAAGGACCGGCUAACUCCGUGCCAGCAGCCGCGGUAAUACGGAGGGUCCGAGCGUUAUCCGGAAUCAUUGGGUUUAAAGGGUCCGUAGGCGGUUUAAUAAGUCAGUGGUGAAAUCUGGUCGCUCAACGAUCAAACGGCCAUUGAUACUGUUAGACUUGAAUUAUAAGGAAGUAACUAGAAUAUGUAGUGUAGCGGUGAAAUGCUUAGAUAUUACAUGGAAUACCAAUUGCGAAGGCAGGUUACUACUUAUGGAUUGACGCUGAUGGACGAAAGCGUGGGGAGCGAACAGGAUUAGAUACCCUGGUAGUCCACGCCGUAAACGAUGGAUACUAGCUGUUCGGAGCAAUCUGAGUGGCUAAGCGAAAAGUGAUAAGUAUCCCACCUGGGGAGUACGUUCGCAAGAAUGAAAACUCAAAAUGAAGUUAGAGGCGUGAGACGAGCCGAACGGACGACGACGAGGGGAGGAGGGNG
rnacentral:rRNA from 1 species